CCCCUAGAUGUUCUGGGCCGCACGCGCGCUACACUGAACAGUUCAACAAGUCUUAACCUUGGCCGAUAGGUCUGGGUAAUCUUUGAACGCUGUUCGUGAUUGGGAUAGACCUUUGCAAUUAUGGGUCUUCAACGAGGAAUUCCUAGUAAACGCAAGUCAUCAGCUUGCAUUGAUUACGUCCCUGCCCUUUGUACACACCGCCCGUCGCACCUACCGAUCGAAGGUAAUGAUGAGCCCUCAGGAUUGUGGCCUCGUCGCGUCAGCGCCUUGGCUGCGAGAAUCUGUGCAAAUCCCNANCUUUAGNGGAAGGUGAANUCGUANCA
rnacentral:rRNA from 1 species